CAGCCGCCGCGGUAAUACGUAGGGUGCAAGUGUUAAUCGGAAUUACUGGGCGUAAAGCGUGCGCAGGCGGUUAUAUAAGUCAGAUGUGAAAUCCCCGGGCUCAACCUGGGAACUGCAUUUGAGACUGUAUGGCUAGAGUGUGUCAGAGGGGGGUAGAAUUCCACGUGUAGCAGUGAAAUGCGCAGAUAUGCGGAGGAACACCGAUGGCGAAGGCGAUCCCCUGGACCUGUACUGACGCUCAUGCACGAAAGCGUGGGGAGCAAACAGGAUUAGAUACCCCUGUAGUCCCUGUCUCUUAUAC
rnacentral:rRNA from 1 species